rnacentral:rRNA from 1 species
UACAGAGGGGGCAAGCGUUGUUCGGAAUUACUGGGCGUAAAGGGCGCGUAGGCGGCCUUCUAAGUCGAACGUGAAAUCCCCGGGCUCAACCCGGGAACUGCGUCCGAGACUGAAAGGCUCGAAUCCGGGAGAGGGAUGUGGAAUUCCAGGUGUAGCGGUGAAAUGCGUAGAUAUCUGGAGGAACACCGGUGGCGAAGGCGGCAUCCUGGACCGGUAUUGACGCUGAGGCGCGAAAGCCAGGGGAGCAAACGGG